GAUGAAGAACGUAGCGAAAUGCGAUAAGUAAUGUGAAUUGCAGAAUUCAGUGAAUCAUCGAAUCUUUGAACGCACAUUGCGCCCGCCAGUAUUCUGGCGGGCAUGCCUGUUCGAGCGUCAUUACAACCCUCAGGCCCCCGGGCCUGGCGUUGGGGAUCGGCGGAAGCCCCCUGCGGGCACAACGCCGUCCCCCAAAUACAGUGGCGGUCCCGCCGCAGCUUCCAUUGCGUAGUAGCUAACACCUCGCAACUGGAGAGCGGCGCGGCCACGCCGUAAAACACCCAACUUCUGAAUGUUGACCUCGAAUCAGGUAGGAAUACCCGCUGAACUUUAGCAUAUCAAUAAGCGGAGGA
rnacentral:misc_RNA from 1 species